GUGUAUGGCCAUGCCAUCCUGAACAAGCCCGAUAUCUGAUCUCAGAAACUAAGCAGCGUUUGGCCUGGUUAGUACUUGGAUGGGAGACCAUCUAGGAAGACCAGGUGCUGUAGGCA
rnacentral:rRNA from 1 species